AACUUACCAGGUCAAGACAUGGGCGUGAUUGACAGGCUAAUGACUUUUCUCGAUUCCAUGGAUGGUGGUGCAUGGUCGCACUUAGUUGGUGCAGUGAUUUGUCAGGUUUAUUCCGGUAACGAACGAGACCUCGGCCUUGUAAAUAGCUAUGCUGCUUACAGGGACAUUGGCGGCUACGCCAAGGAAGCUCGAGGCAAUUGCAGAUCUGGAAUGCCCUAGAUGUCCUGGGUCGCACGCGUGCUACAAUGACGCCACGAACGAGCUUGCGUGAUGAAAGUUACGCAUAAUCAGCAGUCGGCGUCUUAAGGGAUAGUCUCUUGUAACUGUGGGACUCCAACUAGGAAUGUCUCGUAAGCACAAGUCAACAUCUUGUGUUGAUUACGUCCCUGCUCUUUGUACACACCGCCCGUCGCUCCUACCGAUCGAGUGUUUAGGUGAACUUGAUGGACGUAAGGAAGUCAAAUAAACCUGAGCACUAGAGAAGAGAAGUCUAGCAUUUC
rnacentral:rRNA from 1 species